rnacentral:rRNA from 1 species
AACGAACGCUGGCGGCAGGCCUAACACAUGCAAGUCGAGCGGACCCUUCGGGGUUAGCGGCGGACGGGUGAGUAACGCGUGGGAAUAUGCCCUUCUCUACGGAAUAGUCCUGGGAAACUGGGGGUAAUACCGUAUACGCCCUUUGGGGGAAAGAUUUAUCGGGGAAGGAUUAGCCCGCGUUGGUUUAGGUAGUUGGUGGGGUAAUGGCCUACCAAGCCGACGAUCCAUAGCUGGUUUGAGAGGAUGAUCAGCCACACUGGGACUGAGACAAGGCCCAGACUCCUGCGGGAGGGAGCAGUGGGGAACCUUAGACAAUGGGGGCAACCCUGAUCUAGCCAUGCCGCGUGAGUGAUGAAGGCCUUAGGGUUGUAAAGCUCUUUCAGCUGGGAAGAUAAUGACGGUACCAGCAGAAGAAGCCCCGGCUAACUCCGU